rnacentral:misc_RNA from 1 species
UACGUAGGAUGCAAGCGUUGUCCGGAAUUAUUGGGCGUAAAGAGUUCGUAGGCGGUUUGUUAAGUCAGGGGUUAAAGACUGAAGCUCAACUUCAGGAGUGCCCUUGAUACUGGCAGGCUUGAGGAUGGCAGAGGAAAGUGGAAUUCCAAGUGUAGCGGUGAAAUGCGUAGAUAUUUGGAGGAACACCAGUGGCGAAAGCGACUUUCUGGGCCAUUUCUGACGCUGAGGAACGAAAGCGUGGGGAGCAAACAGG